rnacentral:rRNA from 1 species
GACGAACGCUGGCGGCGUGCUUAACACAUGCGAGUCGAACGGAAAGGCCCUGCUUUUGUGGGGUGCUCGAGUGGCGAACGGGUGAGUAACACGUGAGUAACCUGCCCUUGACUUUGGGAUAACUUCAGGAAACUGGGGCUAAUACCGGAUAGGAGCUCCUGCUGCAUGGUGGGGGUUGGAAAGUUUCGGCGGUUGGGGAUGGACUCGCGGCUUAUCAGCUUGUUGGUGGGGUAGUGGCUUACCAAGGCUUUGACGGGUAGCCGGCCUGAGAGGGUGACCGGCCACAUUGGGACUGAGAUACGGCCCAGACUCCUACGGGAGGCAGCAGUGGGGAAUAUUGCACAAUGGGCGGAAGCCUGAUGCAGCAGCGCCGCGUGCGGGAUGACGGCCUUCGGGUUGUAAACCGCUUUCGCCUGUGACGAAGCGUGAGUGACGGUAAUGGGUAAAGAAGCACCGGCUAACUACGUG